AGGGAGACUGAUUUGAGUAAUAAUAAAACUACUGUCUCCCACACAGCCGGCUCUGCAUGAAUUGCUCUUUAUUGCAAUUCCCCUGUCUUGAGAAAUCGCUUCUGUCUAGGCAGCGGGCAAGGUGAGCCCAUUGGGCAGUUACAAGGAGACACGGAGACACAGAGACACAAAGACAGACACACAAAAAAGAGACUGUCAUGUGAAAAGACAGACACACAGAGAGAACAUCGUAAGAAGACAGAGGAGGAGAUUGGAGAGAAGCAACUGUAAGCCAAGGAACACCAAAGACUGCAGGAAACCCCAAAAACUAGGAACAGGGCAUGGAACAGAUUCUACCCAUAUUCUCAGGAAGAGUCCCUGCCAACACCUGGAAUUCAAGCUUCUGGAUUCCAGAUCUAAAAAACCUGGGCUUAGAUAAUGAUUACGCCAAACCACUGGAUUCAAGAAAAAGCUCGUCAUGCCCAACUAUUGCAUGACAGUAUGUGAGAGCCAACCGACUAAAGAUAUUUUAGGAGAAUAAAAUAUUUGGAGAGCAUUGGAGUAAGGACUGUCAUUCCUGGAAUGGAAGCAUUUAAUUAAAAUGACCAUAAGCCUGAAGUGACUGGGGCAUGGGAAUAUCCUUGAUGAGAAGAUAGUGAAGCAUGUAACACCCUGGGAUAGAUGGUGCUGAUGGAACAUUUUGAGGAGACCCAAGUUGUUGGUGGAGGUGAUGGGAGACUCAGGACAACAGAAAGUAUGGGAUUUUCAAUGCUGCAGAAAUGGGGCUGAUAUGGUUUGGCUCUGUCCCCACCCAAAUAUCACCUUGAACUGUAGCUCCCAUAAUUCCCAUGUGUGGUGGGAGGGACCCAGUGGGAGGUAAUUGAAUCAUGGGGGCUGGUUUCUCCCAUGCUAUUCUCAUGAUAGUGAGUAAGUCUCACGAGAUCUGAUGGUUUUAUAAAGGGGAGUUUCCCUACACAAAUUCUGUCUUGCCUGCUGCCAUGUAAGACGUGACUUUGCUCCUUAUUCACCUUCUGCUGCGAUUGUGAUGCCACCCCCAGCCAUGAGUGAGCCAAACUCACUGUUACUGUGAGUCAAUUAAACCUCUUUCCUUUAUAAAUUA
ensembl:lncRNA LINC03070 long intergenic non-protein coding RNA 3070